GCCACUGAGCCUGGUUCGGUGGGACAGGCCCCAAGCCCCAGCCCGCGCCUUUCUGCAGGAGGACUUCCCUUUCCAAGCACGCGCGCUGCCGCCAGAGCCUUCCGGCCGACCCGCCGCGGUGCCCUUCCUAGCGACGGCCUGUGAUGUUCCUUAGCCACGGGGCUUGGCCCAGACCCGCUAGAGGGGGAACGAGGGAGGAAGCCAUCUGGGGAGGAAUCAGAGUUCAGACGAGAAAGGAAAUUGCCCUGAGAUGAUUGAAAUGUGACCUGAAAACAGGACCAGUAACCCCAGAUCAACCGCCAGCCACACCCUGGGCACCAUCUCCCCCAGAAGUCCUUUGGUGCCCCAGGGCCAGCACCUGCUAAGGUUCUCCAGCCCCUCAGUGCUCCCUGGGGAAUAGCAGCUCAUCAGGGGUGCCGUCCAAUCCCCAAUGGGGUUUCCUGUGCGGCUCUGGAGGGCUCUGGUUCCCUCGGUCUCCAGAGAAACAUGUGAGGACAGCGAUGGUUUUGCAGUUUCUGGCGCCGCCCGCAACACAACUCCAGGUUAAUAAGAAGAGAAAGCCUCUCCUUUCACUUUCUUGCCGAAUGCCUUUCCGGGCAAAGAGAAGGGGAGGAAGAGGAAGGCUGGGGAGGGGGAAUUCAUUUCCCAGCAGGGGAUGGGGGCUGUCAGCCCUCGGGGGGCCUGGGUGGGUCUGAGGGAGACACAGAGCCUGGGAGUCCUGCAGGCCUGGCGGAGUGAGCAGGGGGGUGUGGGGGCUGGGAAGGUGGGGAGACAGGAAGGCACUUCAGGGGACCCAGGUGGGCCGAUGCCCUGUGGAUGGAGGGCACUCCGGAGGCCCAGCAAACAGAAAGCCAGAGAUGGACAAUGCUGGGAGGCGGGCGUCUAGGGUGUCAGGAUCUCUAGGCUGCCAGGACGUAGAGGAGCUAUGAGCGGCACAGCCCGCUGGGGUUGGUGGGAGGUGGCUCCGCAGGGGCCUGUCACUUGGGCUUGAGAGAGAUUUGGGUUCCAGACUGCCUUGACUGUGACCUUGCCCUGGGGGUCAGUGCCUCAUCCGAGAGAUGGACUGACUCCCCCUGCUCUGCGCUCGUCACCUGCUGGGAGGCUCAGGUGAG
rnacentral:lncRNA from 1 species